GUAUAAUAUCAUUCAGACAGUAAGAAAUCAUACAAGGACUAUAAUUAGUAGAUUUUUCACUAAGGAAAUUUAGAAAUAUUACCCCAGGUUAUUAAAUGAUCUAAAUCACUUGAGAAAUAAAGAAAUGAUGGCUCAUAUUGGAUAAAGAAGAUAGGAAAAAAAGUAAAUCGAAAAUGUUGGCUCCUUUGGAAAGUUAUUACUCAGCCUGAUAUAUCAAUUAAUUUGUCAAAGUUUCCCCUGCAAACCAAACAAUAAUCAGCACUCCUACAGGGUAUUCUGCCAUCCAAAUUAAGCACAUAUCACUUGUAGAUACAUUACUUAAACCUAACUGUAAUUUCAUUCAGACAGUAACAAAAAUCAUACAAGGACUAUAAUUAGUAGAUUUUUCACUAAGGAAAUUUAGAAAUAUUACCCCAGGUUAUUAAAUGAUCUAAAUCACUUGAGAAAAUAAAGAAAUGAUGGCUCAUAUUGGAUAAAGAAG